rnacentral:rRNA from 1 species
GUACUCCUACGGGGCGCAGCAGUGAGGAAUAUUGGUCAAUGGGAGAGAUCCUGAACCAGCCAAGCCGCGUGAGGGAAGACGGCCCUAUGGGUUGUAAACCUCUUUUGUCGGAGAACAAAACCCGGGACGUGUCCCGGACUGCGUGUAUCCGAAGAAAAAGCAUCGGCUAACUCCGUGCCAGCAGCCGCGGUAAUACGGAGGACGCGAGCGUUAUCCGGAUUUAUUGGGUUUAAAGGGUGCGUAGGCGGUCCGUUAAGUCAGGGGUAUAAUUUCGG